AACCUAGCACACCUGCGGUGUGUACCUGCGGAAGGAUCAUUACAGAGUUGCAAAACUCCCUAAACCAUUGUGAACGUUACCUAAACCGUUGCUUCGGCGGGCGGCCCGGGUCCUUCCCGGCGCCCCUCGGCCCUCGCGGGCGCCCGCCGGAGGUAAACCAAACUAUUGCAUUGUAUGGCCUCUCUGAGUCUUCUGUACUGAAUAAGUCAAAACUUUUAACAAUGGAUCUCAGAUCGGAAG
rnacentral:misc_RNA from 1 species